rnacentral:rRNA from 1 species
AGGACGAACGCUGGCGGCGUGCUUAACACAUGCAAGUCGAGCGGUAAGGCCCUUCGGGGGUACACGAGCGGCGAACGGGUGAGUAACACGUGAGCAAUCUGCCCUUCACUUUGGGAUAACUCUGGGAAACGAGAGCUAAUACCGAAUACGACCACUUCAGGCAUCUGAUGGUGGUGGAAAGUUCCGGCGGUGAAGGAUGAGCUCGCGGCCUAUCAGCUAGUUGGUGGAGUAACGGCCCACCAAGGCUUCGACGGGUAGCCGGCCUGAGAGGGUGACCGGCCACACUGGGACUGAGACACGGCCCAGACUCCUACGGGAGGCAGCAGUGGGGAAUAUUGGACAAUGGGCGAAAGCCUGAUCCAGCAACGCCGCGUGAGGGAUGACGGCCUUCGGGUUGUAAACCUCUUUCAGUAGGGACGAAGCGCAAGUGACGCUACCUACAGAAGAAGCACCGGCCAACUACGUG